AUAUGGGCGUGACAAUGACAUUGUUUUUCACAAGUUAUAAACAGCUGUUUUUAGUUAUAAUUCGAUGUUACAUAAUGUAUGCAUAUUGGAUAAAACCCAGAUGAUUACAAAUACAGAAAUCUUGGACAAUUAACAAGGUCAUUCCAGAAUCCUUAUCAUGUCAUGUCAUGUCAUGUCGUGUCAUGCCAUGUCAUGUCAUGUCAUGCAAAUAUCUUUUUUCCAGGAACAUAACAAAAUCAUGUUUCAAUAACAUUUCUGAGAAUUGGAGAUACAAUUCCAAAUUUAUUCUUGAUUCAAA